rnacentral:rRNA from 1 species
UACGUAGGGUGCGAGCGUUACUCGGAAUUACUGGGCGUAAAGCGUGCGCAGGCGGUUUUGCAAGACAGAUGUGAAAUCCCCGGGCUUAACCUGGGAACUGCAUUUGUGACUGCAAGGCUAGAGUGUGUCAGAGGGAGGUGGAAUUCCGCGUGUAGCAGUGAAAUGCGUAGAGAUGCGGAGGAACACCGAUGGCGAAGGCAGCCUCCUGGGAUAACACUGACGCUCAUGCACGAAAGCGUGGGGAGCAAACAGG